CACAUGCAAGUCGAGCGGGGAAGUAUAGCUUGCUAUACGACCUAGCGGCGGACGGGUGAGUAAUGCUUAGGAAUCUGCCUAUUAGUGGGGGACAACAUUCCGAAAGGAAUGCUAAUACCGCAUACGCCCUACGGGGGAAAGCAGGGGAUCUUCGGACCUUGCGCUAAUAGAUGAGCCUAAGUCAGAUUAGCUAGUUGGUGGGGUAAAGGCCUACCAAGGCGACGAUCUGUAGCGGGUCUGAGAGGAUGAUCCGCCACACUGGGACUGAGACACGGCCCAGACUCCUACGGGAGGCAGCAGUGGGGAAUAUUGGACAAUGGGCGAAAGCCUGAUCCAGCCAUGCCGCGUGUGUGAAGAAGGCCUUUUGGUUGUAAAGCACUUUAAGCGAGGAGGAGGCUACCGAGAUUAAUACUCUUGGAUAGUGGACGUUACUCGCAGAAUAAGCACCGGCUAACUCUGUGCCAGCAGCCGCGGUAAUACAGAGGGUGCGAGCGUUAAUCGGAUUUACUGGGCGUAAAGCGUGCGUAGGCGGCUUUUUAAGUCGGAUGUGAAAUCCCUGAGCUUAACUUAGGAAUUGCAUUCGAUACUGGGAAGCUAGAGUAUGGGAGAGGAUGGGUAGAAUUCCAGGUGUAGCGGUGAAAUGCGUAGAGAUCUGGAGGAAUACCGAUGGC
rnacentral:rRNA from 1 species